UGCCCAGUGACUACAAGUUAAACGGCCGCGGUAUUUUGACCGUGCAAAGGUAGCGCANUCACUUGUCUUUUAAAUGAANACCCGUAUGAAUGGCCAAACGAGGGCUUAGCUGUCUCCCCCCUCAAGUCAGUGAAAUUGAUCUGUCCGUGCAGAAGCGGACAUAAUUAUACAAGACGAGAAGACCCUUUGGAGCUUAAGGUACAAACCCCAUCUACGUCAAACAGCUUACUAAACAAGCACAAACCUAAUAGAAUAUGGAGUUUUACCUUCGGUUGGGGCGACCACGGANAACAAAAAAUCCUCCAAGUAGAUNGGGAAAUCUCCUUAAAACCAAGAAAGACACUUCCAAGUCACAGAAAGUCUGACCAAACACGAUCCGGCCUUCCAGGCCGAUCAACGAACCAAGUUACCCCAGGGAUAACAGCGCANUCCCCUCCAANAGUCCAUAUCGACAAGGGGGUUUACNACCUCGAUGUUGGAUCAGGACAUCCUAAUGGUGCAGCCGCUAUUAAGGGUUCGUUUGUUCAACGAUNAAAGUCCUACGUGAUC
rnacentral:rRNA from 1 species